AUGGUCCGGGGAAAGGCGGUCAUCGAGAGGAUCGAAAACACGACGAGCCGGCAGGUGACCUUCUCCAAGAGGAAGAGCGGGCUGUUCAAGAAAGCCAGGGAGCUGGGCGUCCUCUGCGAUGCGCAGGUAGCCGUCCUCCUCUUCUCCAACACCGGACGCCUCUACGACUACUCCAACUCCAACUCCGGGAUGAAAUCCAUAAUUGAAAGAUACCAACAUGUUAAGGAGGGCCAACAAUUCAUGAGUGCAAGCGCUGAGGCUAAGUUCUGGCAAGCAGAGGGAGUGCGUCUGAGGCAACAACUACAUAACUUGCAAGAGAAUCAUAGACAGUUGCUGGGACAACAUCUAUCCGGCUUAGGUUUGGAAGACUUGAGGGGUUUAGAGAACCAGCUGGAAACAAGCAUACAUAACAUUCGGCUAACAAAGGACCAACUUAUGAUUGAUGAAACUGAAGAGCUAAAGAAGAAGGCAAGCCUCGUGCACCAGGAAAAUAUUGAGCUACACAAGAAACUAAACAUCAUUCGUCAAGAGAACAUAGAUUUGCAAAACAAGUUAAAUGGCCAGGCCGAAGUAAACGGGACAAUUACAAGUUCAUCUAGUGAGUACUACAUUGCUGCUCGAGAGGAUCCAGUUCGUCUGGAACUCAGCUAUCCAGACCAUGCAGAAAGGGAUGAGCAACCAGAAUCACCAACGCUGGGGCUAAAAGUUUCUACUGCUAGGACUGCCAGAUGA
rnacentral:rRNA from 1 species